UACGUAGGCAGCGAGCGUUGUUCGGAGUUACUGGGCGUAAAGGGUGUGUAGGCGGUUGUUUAAGUUUGGUGUGAAAUCUCCCGGCUCAACUGGGAGGGUGCGCCGAAUACUGAGCGACUAGAGUGCGGGAGAGGAAAGUGGGAAUUCCAUGGUGUAGCGGUGAAAUGACGUAGAUAUCAGGAGGACACCGGUGGUGUAGACGGCUUUCUGGACCGUAACUGACGCGUGAGACACGAAAGCGUGGGGUGCAAAACAGG
rnacentral:rRNA from 1 species